rnacentral:rRNA from 1 species
UUUUAUCGGAGAGUUUGAUCCUGGCUCAGGACGAACGCUGGCGGCGUGCCUAAUACAUGCAAGUCGAGCGGAUGAAAGGGAGCUUGCUCCCUGGAUUCAGCGGCGGACGGGUGAGUAACACGUGGGCAACCUGCCUGUAAGACUGGGAUAACUUCGGGAAACCGGAGCUAAUACCGGAUAAUCAACAGAACUGCAUGGUUCUGUUGUAAAAGACGGUUUUGCUGUCACUUACAGAUGGGCCCGCGGCGCAUUAGUUAGUUGGUGGGGUAACGGCCUACCAAGACGACGAUGCGUAGCCGACCUGAGAGGGUGAUCGGCCACACUGGGACUGAGACACGGCCCAGACUCCUACGGGAGGCAGCAGUAGGGAAUCUUCCGCAAUGGACGAAAGUCUGACGGAGCAACGCCGCGUGAGUGAUGAAGGCCUUCGGGUCGUAAAGCUCUGUUGUUAGGGAAGAACAAGUACCAGAGUAACUGCUGGUACCUUGACGGUACCUAACCAGAAAGCCACGGCUAACUACGUGCCAGCAGCCGCGGUAAUACGUAGGUGGCAAGCGUUGUCCGGAAUUAUUGGGCGUAAAGCGCGCGCAGGCGGUUCCUUAAGUCUGAUGUGAAAGCCCGCAGCUCAACUGCGGAGGGUCAUUGGAAACUGGGGAACUUGAGUACAGAAGAGGAAAGUGGAAUUCCAUGUGUAGCGGUGAAAUGCGUAGAUAUAUGGAGGAACACCAGUGGCGAAGGCGACUUUCUGGUCUGUAACUGACGCUGAGGCGCGAAAGCGUGGGGAGCGAACAGGAUUAGAUACCCUGGUAGUCCACGCCGUAAACGAUGAGUGCUAAGUGUUAGGGGGUUUCCGCCCCUUAGUGCUGAAGUUAACGCAUUAAGCACUCCGCCUGGGGAGUACGACCGCAAGGUUGAAACUCAAAGGAAUUGACGGGGGCCCGCACAAGCGGUGGAGCAUGUGGUUUAAUUCGAAGCAACGCGAAGAACCUUACCAGGUCUUGACAUCCUCUGACAACCCUAGAGAUAGGGCUUCCCCUUCGGGGGCAGAGUGACAGGUGGUGCAUGGUUGUCGUCAGCUCGUGUCGUGAGAUGUUGGGUUAAGUCCCGCAACGAGCGCAACCCUUGUCCUUAGUUGCCAGCAUUCAGUUGGGCACUCUAAGGAGACUGCCGGUGACAAACCGGAGGAAGGUGGGGAUGACGUCAAAUCAUCAUGCCCCUUAUGACCUGGGCUACACACGUGCUACAAUGGAUGGUACAAAGGGCAGCAAGACCGCGAGGUUUAGCCAAUCCCAUAAAGCCAUUCUCAGUUCGGAUUGUAGGCUGCAACUCGCCUACAUGAAGCCGGAAUCGCUAGUAAUCGCGGAUCAGCAUGCCGCGGUGAAUACGUUCCCGGGCCUUGUACACACCGCCCGUCACACCACGAGAGUUUGUAACACCCGAAGUCGGUGGGGUAACCUUUAUGGAGCCAGCCGCCGAAGGUGGGACAGAUGAUUGGGGUGAAGUCGUAACAAGGUAGCCGUAUCGGAAGGUGCGGCUGGAUCACCUCCUUUCUAAGGAA